UCGUGGCCAACAAACACCAACGACAGCUGGCGCAACGAUCUAGUGCGAACAUAAAAACAACCCCGGCCAGACAUGCCAGACAUGCUGCGAGUAGGCUGUGGGCAUGUUUUUGGAGGCAAAGUUUUUCCUUUAUAUUUUUCGCCGCUGAAUAAUUCAUCUCCGUACAUCGCUGCUUUGCGGGGAAACUUUUGUUCGAAAUCGAAAGUGCCUAGUGUUUUCCGGUCCAAAAUCAAUCAUAUCAGAAUUACAAUGGACAUGCCUACCGUUGGAACAAAACAGCAUUUAUUUCUUUCAAAGGAAAGCCUUUGCAACAGCCAACUGGAUGUAUCAAUAGAAAAAGAGGUCAGCGGGCGGCUUCUUAGCAAAACAAUCGCUCAACUUUUCCCAUCAACCUGUGGCAUCUGUACAGCCGGUGGGAUGGUGUGGGGGAGGAAGGGAGGCAGUCAACCAAAGCGCAUUCAAUCCGGCCAGGAUCGGUCCAUCCCGAUCGGGAAAGGGAAGCAGGAAAAUACUAUAACAACAAACGUCCUCAUCCUCGUACCCUCCCUACCACCACCUUCAACUUGUUCACUAUUCCCAGCCGUUCACUGAAUCGUCGUAACCGGCAUAUAACUUGUCGCCGCACCUUUUGCAGCGAACUUUCGCGUACCGGAGCAAUGGCAGGACGCUGACGCGUACCUUGCAUUGGGAGCGGCAGAAAAGCGACGGGAAAAGCGAAACAUCUCCGAACACCGUUCGCCCCGAAUCGCCCGAACGCGUUCCGAACGCGUCCCGAACCUGUUCCGGUGUCACGCGGGAAAGCAGAUCCGGUUUUUUUUUGUUGUUCCUGCCAAGGCAUGCAACACGGCAUCGUAUUCGCGCCCCGGCAGCCGAUCGUCACUGCUGCGUGUAAGGAGAAAAGCCGAACAUCGCCAAACGCACAGGCCGAUUAUUACGAAUAUGAAUUGCAAGUGAUGCUGUGCUGCUUCGUUCGGCGAACGAUGAUGAAUGACGACCACCAGCAGCAGUGGCGGCGGCGGUGGCAGUUUGCCAUCACCAGUCGCACCGUAUAGAGAGUGUUGCGGGCGCCAGGUCCGCCGUCAGUCAGCUGCCGGCAGUCAGCGCGAGCACACCGGUUCUCGUGGUCGUUCGUUGGCCGUCGUCCUCGGUACCCCGUUCCGGAUGUUUUCGCGUCGGAGUGGUAGUGCACGAGUGCUAGUUAAUUGAAGCUACCAAAAGAAGGAAAAAAACAGCCAUCCCCCGUACACCUUUGAUUGAAUUCGUGACCCACGACCGUGACACUGUGACUUUCACACGUCUGUACCUGUCACGCACGCACGCACGCACGCAUCGUUUCAACGACAAAGGACUUUCCAGGUUUGGCACGCAAAGGCGACGGUCCAUUCGUGCUUUGUGAUGUUUUAUUUCCUCCCUAUUGUGUGAGUGUAUGUGUGUGUGUGUCUAUAUGUUCCGGUGUAUUGUUUGGUGAAGCACGUUCCACUAUUGCUCUGGAUUGCCUGAAACGUGUCCGAGCCGAUCGGGUGUAGUUGAAUCGAAAUCCGACCCUCAUGCCUCGCGAGUUCACCCGUUCACCACCAGUCGCCGCGACGAAAGCGCGAAAGCAAAGGCCACUCUCGAAAGGAUUCUCAUUACAAAUCUCGAGUGUCCAAUAGGCAAAACCGGGCAGCACAGGGAGAAGAAGAAAAAAAGGUUCCAUUCCAAAAGUGUUUGGCGGGCGCUCUUAGUGGCAGUAGGCGGUGAUCGCGGUGAUGUAAAAGAAGAGCAAGAAAAAAAAAACAAAUCCGUGCAAACCGAAAGAGUGCGGUGCAAAUGGGUUUGCGAAGUUGUGCCAGAAAGUCAGCGAUCCCGCCAUGGACGGUAGCGUAUUGCACGUGCAAACCUCGCUAGAAGACAGUGCGCGCGUACGAAGAAGUGUGUGAAAGUGGGCUAGAAAGGACUGUGGGUUCAGUGGUCAUUUCCAGCGCGUGGCGCUCUGGUGGCUAGUGCAAUUCACACCACACGAAACCCAUCAUCACGCGGCCGCGGCUUCAUUUGCAGACGCUCGGGGAAAGUUGCACCAGUAGUGUGCAGCGAACGAAAAGUAACUGUUUCGCAGAAGAGUUAUUAAGUCUGUGUGGUGCAAAAAUUGACACGAGCAACAAGAGAGCAAAAAAAAACAGGCGAACUGUGCGUGGAAGAUGACGAGCUGCGAUGGUAGUAGUGUGUGAUGACACACCGGGACUAGCAGCACGCUCAACCUACGACCCCCGUCGUACCCAGGAUGCAAUGCUGUGCAGCGGCGAUGACACGAGCGGUUCCAUGCGCUAAACUUGUGAAGCGCUAUUAAUUGGUGACCGAUGCCAGCAAAUACAGCAAAAGUCUAGACGCAAGAGCACUCGCGAAAAAAACACUCAACUCAACGUACUCUGGAACGUUUUGUCCCUCAAAGUGCACCGAAAUUACAGCCAAACCCCCAUCGGGACGGAACGCCGGUCAGUAGCGGCAGACAACAGUGGUCAGCGGUCCUAUAGCAACUAGUCGCAGCGAUCUGAUUGCAAUCUACCAUACAGCCGGGUGCGCACAAUCAACCGGGAUACAACCGGAGGGGCACAACGGAGCAAACGGAGUGCACGGAGCCCAACGAAAAUUCCAUAGAUAUGGUCCGCCAUGGUGUCAACAAACGGUGGCCCUUCUACUGUCGCUGCUGCUGUUGCCGCUGCCGGUACUGCUGCUGCUACUGCGGCUGCCGCUGCUGCUGCUGCUGCGGCGGGUUCCGCGUCCACCCUCAGCACCACUGAUGCGACACAACUGUUCAUCAACACAACGCUUGACUCAUGUGCCCUUAAAUAUGAAGAGUUCGUUAUACCGAAUACAGUUCCUUACUGCAACUGGACCUGGGAUAGCAUACUAUGCUGGCCCCCGACACCAGCCAAUUUGACAAUAAGACAGCGAUGCCCUCCAGCACACGGAAUCGAUACCUCAAAGUUUGCCGAACGACGAUGCAGUGCCGAAGGACAGUGGGAGGGCAAACCGGGCUCCCCGCCAACCCUUCACGGAUGGACCAACUAUACGCCCUGCUACAGCCCGGAAGUUAUACAACUGUUUAGAAAGCUUUACGCCAGCGGCAGCGACGACGAAGCGAAUGACAAGUUUGACAUUGCCGAGCGAACGCGCACACUGGAGACGGUGGGAUUUAGUCUUUCACUAGUAGCGUUAAUUGUUUCGUUAGUCAUAUUUUGUAAAUUUCGCGGUCUGCGCAACAACCGGACGCGAAUACACAAAAAUCUGUUCGUUGCCAUGGUGAUACAGGUGGUGAUCCGCCUGACCGUAUACAUUGACCAAGCGAUCAUACGCAGCGGUGGCAAGAAAGGCAACGAAAGCUCCCGCCAAGGAAUCGAUAACACUCUUUUCCUGUGCGAAGCGUCGUACGUGCUGCUGGAGUACGCCAGGACCUGCAUGUUUAUGUGGAUGUUUAUAGAGGGACUAUAUUUACACAACGUAGUGACGGUGACAGUAUUCCAGGGAAGAUUUCCCCACAAGCUUUACGCGAUCGUCGGUUGGGGCGGCCCACUCAUACUGACCGUCAUCUGGGCCAUCAUAACCGCGCAGUACAUCCGGCAGCAGAAAUGCUGGUGGGGAUACAACUUGACGCCUUAUUACUGGAUUUUGGAAGGUCCAAGACUAGCAGCUGUCGUGUUAAAUUUCAUAUUUCUACUCAACAUUAUACGAGUGCUGAUCGUGAAGCUGCGCCAAAGCCACACCAGCGACGUGGAGCAGGUCCGGAAAGCGGUCCGGGCGGCGGUCGUCCUCGUGCCGCUGCUCGGCAUCACCAACAUACUGAACAUGACGCAGGCACCGCUCGACAAGACGGCCCUCGAGUUUGCCAUCUGGUCGUACGUGACGCACUUUCUCAGCUCCUUCCAGGGAUUCUUCAUCGCGCUGCUGUACUGCUUCCUGAACGGGGAGGUACGGACGGCACUGAUGAAAAGCAUCAGCGUGUACCUGUCGCUCCGUGGGCACCACGAUUGGGCGAUCCGGCGCCAGUCCCUGUUUUCCGCCGGCUAUCCAACCGCCCCGAUCAACGAGACACCGCACGCAGGCGAACCGCAACGCACCCCCAACACCAACAAUAACAACAACAACAAUAAUAAUAGCAGCAGAAACGCCGCCAGCAACAAUCUGCUGGCCGGGGCUGCCAGCAGCAACAACCAUCACACCGCCAACGGUGGUAUGGCCAGCGGCAACGCGAACGGUUUCCGGUGCGGCUGGUUUAGCCGCUGCUUUUCAGUACAAAAACACACCAACCCGUCCGCACCGGAGCCGGCCCCGCCCGAGUCAGUUGUAUUCGAUAUUUCCGACUAGUUGUGUUGCCUCCCUGUGUCUUUGUGUGUGUCCUUGUGUGUUUGUACAUUUUAGUUCCUAUUAUGGUUUUAGUGUCCUUCCUUAACCAGCGUGUGAUGGCGGCUGGCGGAACACGCCCGAAGUAGUACACCGAUCCAUGAGACUAUACGAAACUAGUAAAGCUUUACCACACACACACACACCCUCCCCAAAUGACUACCGCUGGAAAGGUGGAGGUGUGUUGAAGAGGAGUCAAUGGAGGAGCACAAUACACACGCACAAAAGAAACCAACACAUUGCUGUAUCAGGGCAGCGCAACAAAAACUUAUAUACGCGCCAGAGCCCCAAGCGCACGCCUCAUGGCGGGGGAAACAACGCACGUGCGAGGAACGCGCGCUAAGGACAUUGGGGCGUGGAAUAGAGCAGAAGGAAUUUCGAAUUUUAUAUAAACGAUUGUUCUGCCGCCAAAACUUUAUUUAAAAAUAGCAAAGGGAAAGGAGCAAAUGCGGAAAGGACGGAAAUUUAUCAAAUUAUUGCUUACGUGCGAAUCGAAUUUACUCUGUUACAGAUCGUAGAUUAUAAUGGGGCAAACGGGGCUGAUUGUUAAAGGAAAGAACCCUUAGAAAGGUGGGGAAGGGCACAGAGUGGGUUCCCGCUCGCUGUUUCAAUAUACAUUAUGGCACAUAUUUUAUGGACGGAAGCUCGAUAGACGACAGAGGAGAAGAUGUUACUAAUAUUAACGAUUGUCGAUUGUUUUUUGUCGAUUGUUUCGUAACUGGAUGAGCCUAGCGUUUAAGAGAUGUCGCAAACAAACGUAAAGAGAAAAGAAAGAGCCCAAUCUGCACAGCAGCAGCAGCACUACAAACAAACAAAGCGAAACCUAACGCCCGGAAACGCGCAAAAGGGGCGCAGAAAUGGCUUUAGAUUGAUUUAUGUGUAAAAAGCAAAGCAACGCAAACUUCAAACCGAACAAAUAAAUGCAAUGUU